rnacentral:lncRNA from 1 species
GGAAUGGUCUGCUUGGAACCUGAGCAGCACUGACUUCUGAGGAAGACUGAGAUGGAGACACCCGCCAGUGUCCUGUCGCUCCCGCAGUCUGAACUUCCCAACAGUCCAUGUCCUUUGGUUUAAAAAGUCUUUGUAAAGUCAACAUCCUUCCUAUCAGAAUGGCCUGCACCUCGUCUCUGGGACUCGGGUUUACUUGCAGAGAUCUUCUGGGGAAGACAACCUUCUUUUUGAUCUUUUGGCACAAAGGCAGGAGGCCCAUGGCCUUCCUCCUGGUCACUUGACUUGAGGAGAGCUGUUCCCCUUCGAGCUUUAGGUACAUAGAGUGCCAUGUCAGGCCUUUUGGUUCGAACUCUACAUCUCUCUGCUUCUUGCUGCAUGGCACCACUUCAAUCUGAAAGAAAAUGAAAGGGUUAAUAAUAAAAGACAAAAAAAUUCGGGAGAUGACCCAGACAGUGAAGUACUACUUGGCAUAACAACACGAGGAUCUGAGUUCAAACUGAAGCACCGUGAGAAUGAAGAAAAAAGCUCUGUCUUGUGGCCUGCAACCUCAGGGACAGGGAAGCAGACAGAAGGAGCCCAGCCAGUCUAGCAAAACAACAAGCUCAAGAUGUAGAACUCUGAGCUACAUGUUUGCCUGCAUGCUGCCAAACUCCCUGCCGUGAUAACAAUGGACUGUAAACCUCUGAACCGGUUCAAGCCUACAAACAGAAGUGAAGCAGUGGUGGGGCAGCAUCAAUAAAGGUAGCAGAGGAAAGAAAGAAAAAGGAACCAUCGGCUACUAAAAGUGUCACAUUAAAUGUCACAGGGACUGUGUUAAAUU